rnacentral:rRNA from 1 species
UGGGGAAUAUUGCACAAUGGGGGCAACCCUGAUCCAGCCAUGCCGCGUGAGUGAUGAAGGCCUUCGGGUUGUAAAGCUCUUUUGGCGGGGACGAUGAUGACGGUACCCGCAGAAUAAGCCCCGGCUAACUUCGUGCCAGCAGCCGCGGUAAGACGAAGGGGGCCAGCGUUGUUCGGAAUUACUGGGCGUAAAGCGAGUGUAGGCGGUUGCCGUAGUCAGGUGUGAAAGCCUUGAGCUCAACUCAAGAAAUGCACUUGAUACUGGGUGACUAGAGGACCGGAGAGGAUAGUGGAAUUCCCAGUGUAGUGGUGAAAUACGUAGAGAUUGGGAAGAACACCAGUGGCGAAGGCGGCUAUCUGGACGGUUACUGACGCUAAGACUCGAAAGCGUGGGGAGCAAACAGGAUUAGAUACCCCUGGUAGUCCACGCCGUAAACGAUGGGUGCUAGACGUUGGCGAGCUUGCUCGUCAGUGUCGCAGCUAACGCNUUAAGCACCCCGCCUGGGGGAGUACGGCCCGCAAAGGGUUUGAAAAACUUUAAAAUUGAAAUUUUG